rnacentral:rRNA from 1 species
GACGAACCGUGCGAACGUUGUUCGGAUUCACUGGGCUUAAAGGGCGCGUAGGCGGACGGUCAAGUCAGGGGUGAAAUCUUUCAGCUCAACUGGAAAAGUGCCUCUGAUACUGAUCGUCUCGAGGGAGGUAGGGGCAUGUGGAACUUCCGGUGGAGCGGUGAAAUGCGUAGAUAUCAGGAGGAACACCGGUGGUGUAGACGGCUUUCUGGACCGUAACUGACGCUGAGACACGAAAGCGUGGGUAGCAAACAGG